rnacentral:rRNA from 1 species
AACGAACGCUGGCGGCAUGCCUAACACAUGCAAGUCGAACGAGACCUUCGGGUCUAGUGGCGCACGGGUGCGUAACGCGUGGGAACCUGCCCUUAGGUUCGGAAUAACUCCCCGAAAGGGGUGCUAAUACCGGAUAAUGUCUUCGGACCAAAGAUUUAUCGCCUUUGGAUGGGCCCGCGUUGGAUUAGCUAGUUGGUAGGGUAAAAGCCUACCAAGGCGACGAUCCAUAGCUGGUCUGAGAGGAUGAUCAGCCACACUGGGACUGGGACACGGCCCAGACUCCUACGGGAGGGAGCAGUGGGGAAGAUGGGACAACGGGCGAAAGCCGGAGCCAGCAAUGCCGCGGGAGUGAUGAAGGCGUUAGGGUUGUAAAGCUCUUUUACCCGGGAUGAUAAGGACAGUACCGGGAGAAUAAGCUCCGGCUAACUCCGG